rnacentral:lncRNA from 1 species
UAUAUCAUAUAUCAAGAGACGCCACCUCUUCUUUUUUAUUUCCUUAUGAUAAAUAACAGGAUUUUCACGGUCUCAUAGAUUUAGGGGGGCAGCGGCAAUUUCUCAAGCAAUUCUCGUUCGUCGAAUAACAAUUGUCCUGUGAGCAGCAGUAGCAGACAGCUUCAGAUGAUCCCGUUGCGCAGGUCCCGAUCUGGCAUGGGCACACAUGAACAACAUUCCGAGCUGCAUGCACAUAAGGGCGAUAUCACUUAAACAAUUAGGUAAAGUAAACCUAAACUUUACAGUACUUUAAGCAGGUUGUCUCUGUUCCUCGAACUGGACAGUAUGGGAACCAUUUAUAUUUACUGAACACUAGCUACUCCUUUCAUGUCUAGACGUACAGUAAAAGUACUUCCUCCAUUUUAAAUUAUAAGUUGAUUUCACUUUUUUCGUACAUAGAUUUUACAUGUAUCUAGACAUAUAUUAUAUCUAGAUGCAUAGUAAAAUAGAUGUGCCAAAAAAAUGACUUGUAAUUUGGAACGAAGAGAGUAAUAUAUUUUGAAAAGCUAAAACAUCAGUAAUAAGUAAUUUUAUCUAAAUGCGCCUAGUCGUAUGAUGUGGACUUACAGUGCGUAGGAAGCAUGAAACAUCCGAGGAUCAACAUUAAGAACAGGACCGCCUUGCUUCCUUCCAUUGUAAUUUUCACCAUACAAGGAGUUUCUCCGGAUCAGAGAUUGAUGUAUGUGUAUAUGUUUGACUACGGAAUGCUUGCUGCAAGGUUGAUAUAUAUAUGUGAAAG